rnacentral:rRNA from 1 species
GAUGAACGCUGGCGGCGUGCCUAAUACAUGCAAGUCGAGCGAACGGACGAGAAGCUUGCUUCUCUGAUGUUAGCGGCGGACGGGUGAGUAACACGUGGAUAACCUACCUAUAAGACUGGGAUCACUUCGGGAAACCGGAGCUAAUACCGGAUAAUAUUUUGAACCGCAUGGUUCAAAAGUGAAAGACGGUCUUGCUGUCACUUAUAGAUGGAUCCGCGCUGCAUUAGCUAGUUGGUAAGGUAACGGCUUACCAAGGCAACGAUGCAUAGCCGACCUGAGAGGGUGAUCGGCCACACUGGAACUGAGACACGGUCCAGACUCCUACGGGAGGCAGCAGUAGGGAAUCUUCCGCAAUGGGCGAAAGCCUGACGGAGCAACGCCGCGUGAGUGAUGAAGGUCUUCGGAUCGUAAAACUCUGUUAUUAGGGAAGAACAUAUGUGUAAGUAACUGUGCACAUCUUGACGGUACCUAAUCAGAAAGCCACGGCUAACUACGUG